rnacentral:rRNA from 1 species
UAGCUAGUUGGUGAGGUAACGGCCCACCAAGGCGACGAUUGGUAGCCGGACUGAGAGGUUGAACGGCCACAUUGGGACUGAGACACGGCCCAGACUCCUACGGGAGGCAGCAGUGGGGGAUAUUGCACAAUGGGGGAAACCCUGACGCAGCGACGCCGCGUGGAGGAAGAAGGUUUUCGGAUUGUAAACUCCUGUCGUUAGGGACGAUAAUGACGGUACCUAACAAGAAAGCACCGGCUAACUACGUGCCAGCAGCCGCGGUAAAACGUAGGGUGCAAGCGUUGUCCGGAAUUACUGGGUGUAAAGGGAGCGCAGGCGGACCGGCAAGUUGGAAGUGAAAACUAUGGGCUCAACCCAUAAAUUGCUUUCAAAACUGCUGGCCUUGAGUAGUGCAGAGGUAGGUGGAAUUCCCGGUGUAGCGGUGGAAUGCGUAGAUAUCGGGAGGAACACCAGUGGCGAAGGCGACCUACUGGGCACCAACUGACGCCGAGGCUCGAAAGCAUGGGUAGCAAACAGGAUUAGAUACCCUGGUAGUCCAUGCCGUAAACGAUGAUUACUAGGUGUUGGAGGAUUGACCCCUUCAGUGCCGCAGCUAACACAAUAAGUAAUCCACCUGGGGAGUACGACCGCAAGGUUGAAACUCAAAGGAAUUGACGGGGGCCCGCACAAGCAGUGGAGUAUGUGGUUUAAUUCGAAGCAACGCGAAGAACCUUACCAGGUCUUGACAUCCGAUGCAUAGCUUAGAGAUAAGUGAAGUCCUUCGGGACAUCGAGACAGGUGGUGCAUGGUUGUCGUCAGCUCGUGUCGUGAGAUGUUGGGUUAAGUCCCGCAACGAGCGCAACCCUUAUUGCCAGUUACUACGCAAGAGGACUCUGGCGAGACUGCCGUUGACAAAACGGAGGAAGGUGGGGAUGACGUCAAAUCAUCAUGCCCUUUAUGACCUGGGCUACACACGUACUACAAUGGCGUUUAACAAAGAGAAGCAAGACCGCGAGGUGGAGCAAAACUCAAAAACAACGUCUCAGUUCAGAUUGCAGGCUGCAACUCGCCUGCAUGAAGUCGGAAUUGCUAGUAAUCGCGGAUCAGCAUGCCGCGGUGAAUACGUUCCCGGGCCUUGUACACACCGCCCGUCACACCAUGAGAGCCGGGGGGACCCGAAGUCGGUAGUCUAACCGUAAGGAGGACGCCGCCGAAGGUAAAACUGGUGAUUGGGGUGAAGUCGUAACAAGGUAACCGUA